rnacentral:RNase_P_RNA from 1 species
GUGGUGGAGAGCUUGCAUGUGGGGUAACACACUGACCGUCCAGCGUCUGACAUUCGUGUUACGAUGUUGUGUGCGGUCCCCUUGUCGUCCGCGUCUCUGCCCGUAAGGGUAAAGGCGUAGGCGAACUGCCCCGGGGAAGGUCUGAGAGGAGAGCAACCUCCCCUCGUGAGGAGGGCGGUCAUAAUGUGGCUGCAUGGCUUACCAGCAACGUGACAUGUUGUACGUCACGCGCCUGAGCGGUCUUGGUCGUCGUGGAGGCCAUGGGGGCUGGUAACAGCCUGCGUGGUGGAGACGUUUGUGAGUCGUUGGGGUUUGAAACUUGGGGCUGUGGCUCAGCAACUGGAGUUCAAUUUGCAAGGCAGGGCGCGGCUUUGGCCGUCCUUGGAACACAAUUCAGACUACUCCUCGACCAC